UACUUAUUUCAGAAGCACGUAGACUAAACUGGAGUCAUAGAGGGCAGAUUAGCAUGGCCCCUACACAAGGAUGAUACAAAAAUUCAUGAAGCACCCCAUGCCCUU